ACAACCCAGGCCAGCUUCAAUGUAGUGUCUGUAUUUCAUUAUUUUCCCUAAGAUGAGGAUAAUGUGUCAAUGAUAAUGGAGGCUCUGAGGACUGAUUGGACACUGGAACAUAACAUGGGCCACCGCUGUUGAGCUUUUGAGCUCAACUACAGCAGGAAGAGAGGAGGUGGACAGAUUGUGUCCCAUCUAUAAUCACAGCAUGACAAGCUACACAGAUAAAGGGGAGAAGCAUGCAAGGGGAAGGUUUGUCAGGUUUCAUCAUGUCACCUUCUGGGUCGGCAAUGCUAAACAGGCAGCCUCGUUCUACUGCGAUAAGAUGGGUUUUGAGUCUUUGGCCUAUAAAGGUCUGGAGACUGGCAGCCGAGAGGUGGUGUCUCAUGUCAUCAGACAGGAUAAGAUCAUAUUUGUGUUUGAAUCUCCGCUAAAUCCUGGAAAUGAAGAGAUGGGAGAACACUUGAUUAAGCAUGGAGACGGAGUCAAAGACAUCGCUUUCCAAGUGGAGGACUGUGACUUCUUAAUCAAGACAGCUAAGGAGCGAGGAGCUUUAAUCGUCAAGGAGCCCUGGGUGGAGCAGGAUAGCCACGGGAGGGUCAAGUAUGCUGUGGUUCAAACGUAUGGAGAUACAACACACACACUCAUUGAAUACCUCGGACCCUACAAAGGCCUUUUCCUGCCCAGCUACAGAGAGCCUCUGUUUAGGGAUCCUCUGUUAGCCAAACUUCCACCAGGAGAUUUGAACUUCAUCGAUCACAUUGUGGGAAACCAGCCAGAUGAAGAAAUGGUGCCAGUUUCAGACUGGUAUCAGAAGUGUUUGAUGUUCCACCGGUUCUGGUCAAUAGAUGACAAGCAGAUCCACACGCAGUACAGUUCACUGAGGUCCAUAGUGGUGACUAACUAUGAAGAAACUAUCAAGAUGCCCAUCAAUGAACCUGCCAUGGGAAAGAAGAAGUCACAAAUCCAGGAAUAUGUGGACUAUAAUGGGGGACCAGGUGUUCAGCACAUCGCCCUCAACACGUCGAACAUUAUCCAGGCUAUAGUGAAUCUGCGAGCCCGAGGGAUGGAGUUCCUCUCAGCACCUGACACGUACUACGACACCCUGCGGGAGAAACUCCAAACCGCCAAGAUCAAGGUGAAGGAGGACCUCGACCGUUUACAGGAACUGAAAAUCUUAGUUGACUUCGAUGACAAAGGCUAUCUCCUCCAAAUCUUUACCAAGCCGUUGCAGGACAGACCAACCCUUUUCUUGGAGGUCAUUCAGCGGAACAACCACUUUGGCUUUGGGGCAGGAAACUUCAAGUCUCUCUUUGAGGCCAUUGAGAAGGACCAAGACGCCAGGGGCAACCUCACUGUGCUGACACCCGAAGGGCAGGCCAAUGCCUUCUACUGAUCCUCACACUGCUGCUGCCAAACCACACUUAGACUGUUAUAUAUGGCUGCACAUUUCAGAGGCAAUCAACGACACCCACCACCACAACAGUAUAUCAAACACGCAUAUGAAGAGCUGAAUAUCUUCGUGUGACAAGAACCUCCUCAAAGGGUCCUGCCACCAAAUUAUACUGUAAAUCAAAGUUUUGAGUAAUCCAAUUUUUGCUGUAGGUAUCUGAAAAAUUCCUGAUUUUUAAGUGUGAAUUUGUUUUGAAGUUCUGUGAAUGAUUGAAGCCUAUAAUGCAUAAUUAUAUCCAACAUGUGUUCAAUUUGCUUUGUGUUCCUUGUGUUUAAAGAAAUCCAAUACAUGUUCCCUGAAUUAUUCCAGGGUCUUAUAAAAUGGGCCAGUUAUCUUUAAUAGUUCGAAUGGAACUGAUUUUAAGCUAUGUGGGGUAACUGUAGGUGAACUAUUCCUUACUAGACGGGAACAAAAGCACAACUCAUUUUUAACACGAGUGUUUCACUGGAUUCUCCUGUAGAAAAAUGCACUCGACACAGAGGUUUUAUUUCAAAAUAAUUUAUUUGCAUAUACUUGGAAUGAAGACAGGUUGAUACAUCUGUGAUGGCACUGGUCAGUUUCCAUAUAGGAAAAUUCAGUCUAUACAGAAACCACUCUUUAAAACCUGGACAAACUGGAUAAAUAUAUUAGUAAAUAAAUAUAUUAGUGACAUGUCACUAUAUUGAAAUGUUCUAUUAUAU